rnacentral:ncRNA from 1 species
AACGUAAGGUUAAAAUAUUAGAAUAGAUACUUAUUAGAUAUUAUAAAACAUAUUAGUGAAUUUUAAUAGUAGGAUAAUAGUUAUAAAAGUAAGAAUCUAUUAAAAGCUAUAUAAUAGCUUACCUACUAAAUAUACUAACUUUAGAAAUAAAUAGUAUUUCAAUAUCUCACUUAUAUCUUACUUUUAGUAUAGAAAUAAUAUACUAAAG